rnacentral:rRNA from 1 species
UACGUAGGGGGCUAGCGUUGUCCGGAAACAUUGGGCGUAAAGCGCGUGUAGGCGGCCCGGUAAGUCCGCUGUGAAAGUCCAGGGCUCAACCCUGGGAUGCCGGUGGAUACUGUCGGGCUCGAGUCCGGAAGAGGCGAGUGGAAUUCCUGGUGUAGCGGUGAAAUGCGCAGAUAUCAGGAGGAACACCAAUGGCGAAGGCAGCUCGCUGGGACGUGACUGACGCUGAGACGCGAAAGCGUGGGGAGCAAACAGG